GGCUUUGGACUGAGCGCUCUGGACCCAUUAAUGCAAGGUCUGACUCUUCCAGACUGAGAGACUGCUGAAGGAAGAAGCAGUGACCCACGGCUGAGUACAGUGGCCAGGGUUCCAGGGUACACAUCUGUCAAUUCACCCCUCUGGAGGCAUGGGCUGCUGGGAGGUGAAAGAGUUCAUACAGCCAACCAGGAAGCAGUCACUCUGACAAGCCAAGCGAAGAGAUGUUUGGCCACCUGCAUCUGACUUCUAGAUCGGCUUCUGUUCUUGGGACCAGCAAUGCUUGAAUGAAAAGCUCUGCUGAUUGCCUGCUGCAGAGAAGCCUGGACCCACAGGGCACCGGGCAUGAAGGAAAGCAAGCGGUUCCGUGUUGAAGGCAAGGGUCUCUGUCCUGCAGCAGGUAUGCAGAAAGUCGCCUCCGUGGUGGAAGGGUCUGAGUGGUAUAGACCCCAUAGCACAGCCUCCUUCGCCUCACACUCUCCGUGAUCUCCCCAGUCUCCUCUGAACAGCCAUAAAGCUAGUCAUUAAAAUGUGCCUCAAGGUCGGCAAUCAAUCUCAAGGGGGUUUUAGUUUAUUGUCUGGAGGAGGAAGCCUUCCACUGCCUCUCUUGUCACUGAAGAGGCAUCACAUAAAGGACCCUUUAAUCUCACCCAGACAUCUCAUGGGGCACCAUGGCGAGUAAGUCCCCUCCCUGGCAAACACACGGGCUCGUUAACAGGGACCUUUACCACCAGUGACACAAUGGAACUUUCUUUAUAAGGGUUGAAAGGGCACAGGAGUUGCAAAAUGUCUUAAGGGCCAUGAAUUGUAGACUCCUUCCUGCCCCUCUGCCUGGGGUCAAAUGUGGGGACACUCAUGCAUCGGUGCUAUGCCUCCUAUCCACUGUGCACCUUGCUCAUAGGUAUGUGGCCCUGUCAGAUUUCUCUGUCCAGGACCAUGUCUCUGUCUUGCCUGAUAUCCCCACUGGUGUGUCUCUCACAGUGCGGUGUAGUAUGAGGACACUCAGUGUGAAGAAUGUAAGCCACAGGGAGCCAGCUAAGGAACAUAGAAUCCUUGAGUUCACUCUGACUCAACACUGGGGUUUUGGGCCUUGUAGGAUACUUAGCAGUAUCCCUGAUCUCCACCAGUGUGAUACCAACAGCAGCCUGCCAACCUGCUGGACAACCAAAACUGUCCCCAUACAUUGCUCUGGGACAAAUUACCUGGCUGUGCCAACAGUGUGCAUGGCAGAAGUCUGUGUACAGAGAGCAUCAGAGAGCAGACACUGAUGUUUGGGAUGCCCACGGGACCUUGUCUGGAGAUGGAGGUGGGGAUGUGUGUGGUACCUUUCCCACACUCUCCACGGAAGCUCUUUGUCAUUCCUCUUUAGAAGGUGUCAGGAAAAGGGGGGCUGCUGUGGUCAGAACCCUUGCUAUUUUAUUAUUAGCUAUUACGAAGCACCGAAAGCCCCGAACUUGGCUGAAGUGCCCUCUUGAGACAAGUUAUGGGAUGUGGGAUGACUGUCUGUUUUCAGCGUCCAGCACGCAGGGAUUGGGGCAAGCCCAUCAGCCUAAGAUGGCGAAAACUAUGGUGCCAGCACCCAUUACAUCAAUUUGUGAGAAAACUACGCAAUAAAUGGCAUCUCUUACUGUUCCUG
ensembl:lincRNA Mirt1 myocardial infarction associated transcript 1